rnacentral:tRNA from 1 species
ACCAGGAUGGCUGAGAGGUUAAGGCGUUGGACUUAAGAUCCAAUGGAGAAAUGUCCUUGUGAGUUUGAACCCCACUCCUAGUA